GUUACAUGCCACAUGUGUCACCUCACCAGCAUUUCAUUACCAGGUGUGUGUUUAAUCUCUGCGUGCCCCCCUUUUAUUUUAACAAAAACAGUUUGUUAUCUUAGUGAAUUAUCCGGCUUUGGGACUUUAUCCCUCAAGGAUUCAUGUUUUCGGCCUACAGACUCUGUUUGAAGGUAAGUGAGUCCUUUUUGUGUUGGCAAUGGACACCAAUGCCUGCAUUUGGUUCCUCAUGAGUGUAUUUCCCAAGCUUAAGUGGAACAUCUUCAUUUCAGAGCUGAACAUGCAGAUUUUGAUGACAGCAGUUGAAGUUUUGAAGUGGGUUGGAUGUCUUCCUCCAUUUCUGUUGUUUUGGGCAAAAAACUAGGCCUUAGACUCUUUGAAAACCAACUUCUAGACUAAACAUGAAGACAAUUUCAAGACUGCCCAGAAGAGGUGGUCUCAGUCAGCUUCACAUCAAACCCUUGAAUCGUGAGAACGCAGAUGAAGUUACUUUACUGUUUUAUGUGUUUGUGAUGAGGAGUGCUAACUUUUCAAGUCCUUUGCUAAUCCAGUUGAUAUAUCUUGCUGGAACCAGUAGAACCCUCGCUGUAGUUUGUAUUUCUUCCACUAAAUGGACCAAAACAGAUGAAUGGUGACACAUUUCACCAUCCCAAGGUGAUGCCAGCAAGUGCUAUCAAGCCAUGUCCUCGCUGCUCAUUAGCAAACCCCAAAUGUGGAAGCGCAGCGCUCGGUAUUUAAUAAUCACACUCGCACAAAUGGGUCAUGAGGCGUGAUUUGUGCGACUCAGUCCUGUAGAACAAGCCUCAGUGAGCAAGUUUAAUCACUUUAACUUCCACUUCUGUGGGCUUCAAAGCCGCCAUGCCAGUGGUACAAAGGGACCAAAUUCUUUCGCCUGCUCUCUGCUUGUUUCUUGUCUUUGUCUCUUGAUGAGGAGGAAUUAGGGGCAGAUUACUGUGCAUCGUGGCUCACAUUUAAUGAUAUUCAUGCUUGAUGGACAGCCAGGAUCAGGUCACAAGGAUGUGGGUAUAAUCAUCAACAAAGGUGGAUAAUGAUGUGGAGAAAUGAAGUCUGUUAGUUUGCAGCUAUAGUAUGUAAAAGGGAUUGAGUGCCAUAGAUGUGCUUUGCCACAACUUUUAUUAUUUUAUCAAAUAACGUGUAUUUAGUGGAUUCUUUUGGAGGAAUAGGUCUGUAGAAAUCUUGAAUUGUUGGCGUCAGUUCAUGAAAAUUCGUGCUAGUCUGGUUUGAUGUUGAAAGAAGAUGCAGUUGCUUUCUGCUUGAUAAUAAUCCGGACAGUAAUAUUUUUUGCCUGGAAUCAAUCUGGCUACCAACUAGAUAACUUGUUCUUUCCUACCAUUUGGCAUUGCACUGGACACUAAAGGUAUUAUUCUUUUAUUUACUGAUUCACAUCAGUCAAAAAUGUGGAAAUAGUCUCCUGCAUGAAGACUUCGAUCAUUGUCAGCAAUGAGCUGUUUCUGUGUAAAUGUGUAGCUCUCGCUUGUGCCAUACAGGCCUUCUGUCAAUGACCACUUUGUUGGGACUCGUGCAGCCCACCCUUGCUCGUCACUUGACCCAAACUGUGUUUUUUUUUUUUUUAACUAGGGAUGUCCUGAUACAACUUUUUUUAAACUUCUGAUACGAUACCGAUAUUGUAGCCUUGUGUAUUGGCUGAUACCAAUAUAUCCAAUAUUAGCACAAAGUUGUUCAUGGCAAGUUCUGCACUCAGCUGCAAUGUCUAUUUCAGACUUUAAUGUAAAAUACUGCCACACGGCCGACAUCACUCCUACUCCUUGCUACUUUUUUAGUACCUUAGUACACACUGUUGUCGUGUUUAUGUGGGCUCUGCAAUCAGGUAUUUAUUGUGUUGCUUAUGUCAGACCGAUAUCCGAUAUCAAUAUUGGAUUGGGCCAUCCCUACUUUUGACUAAACCAGUAUGCCAACUAUGUUCUUGUAGUAUCUGAUUGUCUCCUUUAGCCUGGCCUCACACUGGAUGGUUUUAAGCCUAAUUUUGGUCCCAUCUCUAGUUAAACUGACGUACAGAACACAGUUUGCAUUCUACACUAUAAAAAAAGUGAACAUAAGUGUGUCUUAUAUCAAGUUUUCUUAGAGACUGAAUAAUAAAAGUCUACUAGGAAUAUGUAUCCACCACACCGUGCUGGUGUUACGUUUCUGUCUCUUAAGGUCAGGUAAACGGCGUCACAGAAUAAUAUAGUAAAAAUCCAUAGAGUUCGAUCCAGGUCAGCAGUCUUAAUCAGUUCUCCCUGUCUUAUGUUACACCUGUGUGUCUUUUAACCCUGCAGAGAUGCCCUAUGAACUCCUCAGUCCAGUUAAGAUAAUAUAAAGUUCAGUUUUGAAUCGUCACUGUGCCUUGAUCUGAGGCAGAGCUUCAAACUUAACCCUUCGCAAAACAUCCCCAGAUAUUCAUCACGUUUACACCUUGGGGAUCCAAUAUCACUCACAGGCGCCGUCGCCAGUCAGGCGCUCUGGGCCAAAAGGGAGCUAAGAUUUUAAUGAUUGUGGUAUGAAAUCAGUGCCCUGAAAUGCUCCUGAGACCUCUGAAAGCACACCAACAGGCUACUGUAUUUUCUAUGGGGCAUUACAUACGCUUUAGUGGCGGUCUGGGAAAAUGUUUUCUUUAAAUUAGCCCUUCAGGGUGCUGCUGUUAUUGCAUUAUUAUCAAAUUAGUGUAUUUUAAUUACUACGUCAUUUGAAAUGUAUGUGCCAGUAGGUCACAGUGGGGUGAGAGCAGAGACCGUGUCCAAACUCUCAGGCCGUCGAGCUCGCUGUGCAAAGUUGAGACAAGGAGAGAAGGAGAGAGAGAGAAAAAAAAAACCUUCUGUGGGCACAUCUGUGAAUUAUAUUAGCUAAUUGUGUGCACUUCUCUUUGCACUCAACACUUGGGUUGUCCUCCAAGCACAAGGAAGAAAUUAACCGCACUGCUGCCAUGUUGUUCUAUUAAAUACGUGAAGAGAAAAUACAAUUAUGAGUUAAGUGGGAACAUACCACAUGGGAUUAUGGGAGGCACAGCGUUUCAGAUUUUCAGAGUCAGUUAAUUUUUUAUGCCACGCAUGUGAACGUGUUCCCGAGCAACAUUAUUAUCAGAUGUACGUGCAAAGAAAAAGGAAAAAACGCUGCAGAUUUAAUUCAUUUGCAUUCUUAUGUCAAGUGUCUUCUAUAAAAAUUUCUGACUUUGAUCAGUUGAAAAUGGCUCCUGCUUAAUAUUUAGUCCCCAGUCUGGGUGGAGCCGGUGCUGCAGAUCUCCAAAACCUGACUGCACCAGAUUCAUUCCUGCAGCUUGAAUUACGAUAUCGAGUUGUCUGCUAGAGGCAGACAGCUCAGCCUUUUGCUUUUCCUAACAAUAAAACCACAUUUCAAAACAGAUUGUUUUGGUAAGAUGAGAGUGUGGAUGAGAAGUCCAGGAGUAUGUCUCGCUUUUACCAAAUAAGAAGCAGAAGCAGACGCAGGGUUGUGUGUUGAGUAUUUAAUGGCAUGUAUACUAUCAGAAGAUCUUUCUGGAAGUAGUGCCACACAAUGGUUUUAAAAACCUGCUCAUAUUAGGUGUUUGUGAUGAUUAUUGAGGCAUUUUUGGAUUAGGUGUUUGAAUAUCACAUUAUCUAAUGUUAUAUACAGAAGUGCUGCAGACAUUUAAGAUGGCUGCUGCUGAUAUGGAUUGCUUUAAAUCCUCUAUUGUGCCAAUAUAUUCUUUUUUAAAACAUAGAAACAAAAAGAGUUGGCUGAUAAACUAGUUUUAAGAAUAUAUUUUGCAUGGAGAGACUGACUCUUAUGUAAGUGUUGGUGAUGUUUUCUCUUGUAGUUUCAACUCUGCUAUAAUAUUCUGGCACAGGACGCUCUGAGAGCUCAUUUUGAGAAGCAAUACCCUUUUUUUUUUGUCCACAGCAGUGGCUGUUGGGAUAUUUUAACCAGGAAAUUACCCCAUCUUUGGUCACUAAGCCAACAGACUGGUUGAAGUUAACGCAGAAUGAUUUUCCUGACUUGCGAAACUGGCAUAUAUCUGCAUACCGGCACCAUUCCUGCAACCAGACAGUUGAGGAUUUGGUUGCAUUCCUGACUAUGUGCACAUACUUUUAUUUAAUCAGUAAGAACAAGCAUGCAGGAAACUGGACGUUAUGAGUCUGACAUGUGCUUAUUUUUCUGUUCACUUGUCUUGUUAUGGCGAUUUAACAUUCAGUAGUUUGCGCCUCACUCUGCAUGUCUUUUGGAGUCGUUUCUGUGAGUCUGCUUGUUAAAGGGAUAUUCCGGCGUAAAAUUAAUUUAGGGUCAAACACACCGUAACACAGAGUUAGACACCCCCCCUCGAGAGAUGAACGUUGCCAACCGCUUGCUUCUCUAGUUAUACCAACUUUAGUAACGACUGCAGGAUAGCAAUACACAGCAGUCUGAGAAGCCAUAAACAAACCUCAACCAAAACACCACUCUCUAGCCACAAAUAAUGCUCAGAACAGCACCUAACUUCAUCAACAGGACAUAUAGGGUCCCAGCCAUAGUACUAGCCACCAAACAUCUUUUUAACUUUGCCUAAUUUCUUCAGCAAAGAGACUAAACACAACUCACAUACUCUCUUAAAUCGGUGUUACGGUGUGUUUGACCCUAGAUUAAUUUUAUGCUGGAAUAUCCCUUUAAUUUUACUGCUUUGACCACAGGGGGCGCCAAAUUCAACACAAAGAAAACCGGGGGGAGCUCUAAAAGUUCAACAAAGCUCAUCCUAUUAUACCAGCUUUAAUAUAGAUCAUGUAAUUUCUCUGCUUUCUUGCCUGGAUUCAAACAAUCUCAUAUUUAAAUAUAUAUUUUUAAUGAUAUACAAAGGUCAGAAGCAACACUUGCUCCUGGUUUUUCCCACAAGUCCUGCAUUAAAAUGAUCUUUUCAUAAUGUGAUGAGUGGUGGGUGGAAAAACCAACCUACUAGUUUGACCUUUGGUGUAUAUACUGCUUUUAAAAAUCCCCUGACUCUUAUUUCCACCCUCUGCCGAGUGAGAGAUUGCUGUUUUUAAAAAUACGUGUGUGUUUUCAGUUAUAAAUGUCACUAAAUCGUUAUGUAAGAUUUCCCAGAGUUUUCGUUCUCGGAGGGGUUUGGAUCUUGUAACAAAAAUCAAACAACACGAGUAUCACUUUACAUCAAGGCUGAGAGGAGCCUGGAGCUCUUACAACAGAAAAGUCUCCUUUGAAAGAGAGAAAACAGUUGCUGCCUGGCACACAGCAAAGAGCGUUAUAUAAUACAAUUAAAUACUGUUCCCUCGAUCCUCUUUCUUCCUGUUUGCUUUUUCUCACACUCUUCUCUUUCUUUCUUUUUCUCUCUUUAGCCUCUUUACAUCUCCCUUCAUUCAUUCUCUUCUCCCCGAUGUGCUUUGUUAUCUGACGGCCUUUGGCUGUGAAUAGAUAAUGACUGUGCGAGAGGUUUUGUUUACCAUGGAUACCACAGGAUUAGAGUGAUUACUGCUGGUGCCAGUGUUGUAACAAGCCGGGGAAGCCUUCCACGGUGUAUGGAGGUGCUGACAGUUAUCCUGUACAAGAUUAGAGAACUUGUAUUAUGGGUUGUUUUUCUCCACCUGGUGAUGAGAGAGUCGGAGAAAAGGCCGAGCGUCACAAUGCCGGAGCCUGGAGGAGCGGGGCCGCCUCCAACAUUCGCUUGUUCAUUCUCCAGACUCGUGUAGCUGUAGAUGUUAGCCGUGGAAGCGACGUCACUUUCCACCUUGACCUUUCACCUCUGUAUUCCCAGAUGUCUCCAGAGAUGGUUCCUCUACCUCCAACUAAGCUCUCCUGUGGUCAGAGCCCAAGACGGUGUUCAGUUUCACAGCUUCUCUCUUCUUGGCCCCAGCACAAAUACACAACACCCUCUCCGAUUGCACUUGAUAAUAUUUAUCCUCAAUUAUAAUUCCACAGAUAUGGAUUCUUGAGUGGAGUACAGUGGCAGCAGACAAAGCAGAACGGCCUUGAGCCCUUGCUGAGGUGGGUUCCUGCAUUAACCCCAGACAAUUCAUGUUCUCCUCAGCAGUGGGGCAAAAUAAGCAAUGCGGCCAUUAAGGGCUCCAGUAUAAUGGGGAAACACUUGGCUGUAUAUUUGUCCUCGCGGUGAGUGCAUGCAUCGCGAGACUGAAAUGUGAAACUAGCUAGAACACAAACGGAGAGUUGCAUGUAGGGGGUGGUCACAGUUUAAAUAAAUGAAUUCAGCUUCUUGAGAGCCGCAGCCUUGUCUGCUUUUCCUCCUGAAGUGGGUCAUGUCGAAGAUUAGUGAAUAAACUUUAGAAUAGAAGCACUCGAUAAACCAGAGAAGUGUUAAUAAUUGAAACACGUGAAUACAGGUUUGAGAAAAAAAAAAAACCUGAAUUGACUCCUCAGUCUCGUGAUUUUGAAGGUGGUUUUAACUUAUCAAAUUAUCAAUGAAACAAGACUGUAAGAACUUUGGUUUUACUGGUUUUUGUUUGAAUGUAAGCGAAGGAAAGAGAUCAUGGAUGGAUUUUGAAAAAACUCCAAAAAUUGCCCUCUAAGUCCUUUUCUAUUUUCUUUUCCUAAACUCUAAUUGUAA